AACGAACGCUGGCGGCAUGCCUAACACAUGCAAGUCGAACGAGACCUUCGGGUCUAGUGGCGCACGGGUGCGUAACGCGUGGGAACCUGCCCUUAGGUUCGGAAUAACUCCCCGAAAGGGGUGCUAAUACCGGAUAAUGUCUUCGGACCAAAGAUUUAUCGCCUUUGGAUGGGCCCGCGUUGGAUUAGCUAGUUGGUAGGGUAAAAGCCUACCAAGGCGACGAUCCAUAGCUGGUCUGAGAGGAUGAUCAGCCACACUGGGACUGAGACACGGCCCAGACUCCUACGGGAGGCAGCAGUGGGGAAUAUUGGACAAUGGGCGAAAGCCUGAUCCAGCAAUGCCGCGUGAGUGAUGAAGGCCUUAGGGUUGUAAAGCUCUUUUACCCGGGAUGAUAAUGGCAGUACCGGGAGAAUAAGCACCGGCUAACUCCGUG
rnacentral:rRNA from 1 species